GAAACACUGAUUACUGGGCGGGCUUGUAUUUUGAUAUAUAGCCCAGCUCAGGUCACGGGGAGACACGUCCUCCUAACCUUGUUUUGCUUCCGGGUGCCCAUCAGUUUGUAUGGUGGCGUGGGAUUGCAAAUUGCACUACUUGGACUAAUGCUGUUACCGAAGCACGAGUGGUUCAUUGUCGCGACAAAGCCGGUGUAGCGGUUGCUCUGACGCCGGGUGCUCGGUGGGAAUCAGCUGGAGCUCCGUCCAUGACUCGCUGCCCCUGAGUGUGCAGUCAUUGCAGCUCGGCACGUUGAGCUGAGGUUCAUCAACUACCUCCCCC